GACGAACGCUGGCGGCGUGCUUAACACAUGCAAGUCGAACGGAAAGGCCCUGCUUUUGUGGGGUGCUCGAGUGGCGAACGGGUGAGUAACACGUGAGUAACCUGCCCUUGACUUUGGGAUAACUUCAGGAAACUGGAGCUAAUACCGGAUAGGAGCUCCUGCUGCAUGGUGGGGGUUGGAAAGUUUCGGCGGUUGGGGAUGGACUCGCGGCUUAUCAGCUGGUUGGUGGGGUAGUGGCUUACCAAGGCUUUGACGGGUAGCCGGCCUGAGAGGGUGACCGGCCACAUUGGGACUGAGAUACGGCCCAGACUCCUACGGGAGGCAGCAGUGGAGAAUCUUGCACAAUGGGCGGAAGCCUGAUGCAGCAACGCCGCGUGCGGGAUGACGGCCUUCGGGUUGUAAACCGCUUUCGCCUGUGACGAAGCGUGAGUGACGGUAAUGGGUAAAGAAGCACCGGCUAACUACGUG
rnacentral:rRNA from 1 species